CGGGGCGCAGCAGUAGGGAAUCUUCCGCAAUGGACGAAAGUCUGACGGAGCAACGCCGCGUGAGUGAUGAAGGCUUUCGGGUCGUAAAACUCUGUUGUUAGGGAAGAACAAGUACCGUUCGAAUAGGGCGGUACCUUGACGGUACCUAACCAGAAAGCCACGGCUAACUACGUGCCAGCAGCCGCGGUAAUACGUAGGUGGCAAGCGUUAUCCGGAAUUAUUGGGCGUAAAGCGCGCGCAGGUGGUUCCUUAAGUCUGAUGUGAAAGCCCACGGCUCAACCGUGGAGGGUCAUUGGAAACUGGGGAACUUGAGUGCAGGAGAGGAAAGUGGAAUUCCAAGUGUAGCGGUGAAAUGCGUAGAGAUUUGGAGGAACACCAGUGGCGAAGGCGACUUUCUGGCCUGUAACUGACACUGAGGCGCGAAAGCGUGGGGAGCAAACAGGAUUAGAUACCCGGGU
rnacentral:rRNA from 1 species